rnacentral:lncRNA from 1 species
CAUUUUUAAAUACUUUUAGUUCACAUUUUUUAAUGUUUAAAAACUAUGUUAACAGAGCAGUUAUAGAACAGAACUUCUUAUAUUUCUUUAUUUACACCACACUCUGAAAAAAAAAACCCAGUUCUAUUUGAUUAACUAUGAAUAGCAAAGUUUUGUGACUUGUGACUCACUUAAAUCACCCAUCUGAAAUUCAUUUACAAGGUUUUUACAUUAAUAAAACAGUAGUGUGGUACAUGUAUUGGACUCAGAUGAAGUCUAAAGUACACUGGACUCUAGAGAGUGGAUUACAUACCAACGACCAAGAUUCAAGUGUUUGGGGAAAAAAAUACCUUAGACAGUCUAUGUUGGCGUCAACACUAAAAUAAAAGGCAAACAUGCAGGACUUUCAAAGCUUGAUUAGAUAAUGGUUCUUUGUUUUCUUUCCUUCAAAUUUGUGCUCAUAAUUAAUAUUCAGGUUCCCUCUCCCCGCUUUCAUAGAUCCCAAAGUUUGAGAAAUGCAGCAAUUCAAUUGUGAAAAAAACAUUCUUCUCCCCAGCUUCUGUUUUCAUAUGUACUGUGUAGUGGUAUCAGUGUUAAAAAUGGAAGAUCAUUAUGAAGAAACAAUUUGUCAUUUGGGUAUAUCUGUUUCUAUAGGACAAGGAUUUGUGUCUAAAUAUUCCUUACUUGUAUCUCAGAGGACUAUCUGUUAAAUAAUUGAUCUUAAUGCCAGCAUAAGAAAUCAAGGGAACUAUUUCUCAGACAUUUCUUUCUCUAAAUUAAGUAGGGUUUCAGGUUCCAAGUUUACAUUGAGAGAACUAUGUUACCUGGGAGAGAAUGUAAAUUUUUCUAAUUCCCAAACAAAACCACUAAUUUCUAGGAAACAUUUAUUGUUUAUAUGCAGAUCCUAGAGACUUCUAUUUCAGUGCAGAUCAACAACUUCAAAAAUAUACAGCCUCCUAUUUAUUUACAAUAAUAUUUACAUACAAAUGAAGUAUUUCCUGCAAUAAGCCUCAGCUGCAUAGAUUCUUCCUUUAAAAACGUAAAUUUGAGCCUGUAUACAGAUGGGCCCAGUUUCAUAGCCCUUCCUUAGAUAAAAGCCUAAAGAAGGAAAAUGUCUGCACCUUGUGAACUUUACAUAUUUUGCAAGAACUUUCUCUUUGAGAUUUAGUGAUAGUUUUUAGUUGUUAGACACCCCACCUUCAGCUUGUACCUGAAAGCUUUAUCUCGUUAUAAAUAAUUCACUGUAAUUUAGGGGAAGUAUGUCCUGUUGCUAAAGGAUUCUCAAACCUGCCAUCCCCAAGGAAAAUCAUGUAUUAGUAUUGCUAAAUGAUGGUCUGUAUAUUCUUUGUUUUGAAGGUGGCUAGAUGUUUGCUGUAAACUUGAAUGGGAGAAUUAUAUUCUUAAAGUUUACACCCCCUAUAAGCCUAAAGCCAUUUAAAUUGAUAAACUGAGAGAGACUAAUAGAUUUUGCUCUAAGGUAUAAAAUCCAUUAUCUGAUCAUAUUCCUGACCUCCCCCCGACUCCAACUAAAUGUGCCAUAGUCCAACACUGUGCCUCACUGAAUUGGAACUCAGUAUUUCAUUCUUUUGAGAGCAGUUUGUAGCUCCUUAAGCAGAGCAGACCUUUCAGUAGAGAAUUCGCUUUAAAAGGAGGACAGGAUUAUCACCACACGAUUAACACAAACACUGGAGAACUUCUGACACAAAUUCAGUAUUUCUUCUAAGUCUGCAUUUACAAAGGGUCUUUUAUUUUAAUUUCUUUCACAACUGCCUCGCCCCAACCAAAGCCUCACUUUCAUUUCCUCACAGCUUUAAAAAAUAAAAUACAAAGGUUUUUAAAAAUAUGGGUGGUGUCACACAGAUCAACAACACUGUGCCUCCUCUAAAUAAAUCUAUUUUAAAUAAAUAUUCCUUGUAUUGACACAUGAAACCCAGAGGCCCAAAAAUAUCACUACACAUCCCAGUUAAUGAUAAGGUUCUAAAUUGACUUUGUGAGGGUAAAAUGAAUUGCUAUAAAGUAACAAGGAAAAUAGAAAGUAGCAUAAUAUAGCUUGCAAACUAAAUUAUGUAUUUUUAAAGGUACAGUCAUCCCACUACCUGGCUAUUUCAUUACUUGGUGCUCUAGACAAGCUCCCAAGAACUGACUGGAUCUUGGCUUGUUCUGUUUCUGUCAUUGCUAAUAUAAUAUGGAAAACAUUGCUGAAAAGAACAGAGAUGGCCAUGGAUAUGGCUAGGUUAGGUAUUCAUAUCCAAAUAUCUGAACUCUAACCUAAUGUGGAUAUGAUUCUGUAGCAUUAUAUUAAAAGCUAUGAUGAUGCAAUGCAGGAAAUAACCUUUCAUUCUCCCCCCUAGAGGAUCACGACAGGUGCUUCAAUGCCUGCCUUAUCUAUGGGACAGUAGUGUGAUUCUCAGUGAGAGUGAAGGCCUUUGGGGAUUUGAGUCAGGAAGGGAACAUGGCUAAGUGCCUGGAAACUCUGCCAACAGUCUGCGGUUAGAUUCUACUUGUCUCUGGAUAAGAAAUCUGUGCUCAGUGAACUUAUGUGUUUGGAAAAUUUAACCAGAAUAUAGAGGAAGCAUAAGUCCUGUUUCAAGAGACCAGCUCACGGAGCAUGCACAUUUCUCACCAUAGGCAAGCUAUGGACAAUUCAAUCACAUGGGAUGGCCCCACUUAGGGGAAUGCAGUUCUGGGUUUCCUUGCUAUCCCUAUUCUUUUUCAGCUACAAACUCUCUUCUUUUUCAGUCUCUUCAGUUUCCUUGUGCUCCCUUUAGGAGAGGGACAAGGGUAAGAGUACCAGGCAACUCUGUCCUCCUGCAUGGACAGUUGAGACGGGCAGUAAUGGCACAGUCCUUGGUUGGGGAAGAGAAGAGGAGACAGCACAGACACUGAGACCCCCUUGUCUUCCUCAUCUGGGGGAAGGAAGGUACUCAGUGAUUCUGUCAGAAGCUCUUCACAAAGACUAUCUCUGAGGGUUUUUUUUUUUUUUUUUUCACAAGACUAGAUGGAGAAUUAAUGAAGAAGAAAUAGAAAUGAGGCUUAUUUAAGGUACAAAAUUCUUGUAUUUGUAAUAACCUAGAUUUAUAGAUAUAAAACAAGUCUUUUAAAGACUUCCCUAAAAUACUCAAUAUAAAACAGGAGUUACUUAUCCU